UAACAACGUGGGAUUACCUUACCCUAUAAAGACCUUGGGAUAAACUUCUGGGGAAAACCCUGGAGCUAAUACCCGGAUAAUAUGUUUGGAACCGCAUGGGUUCCAAAAGUGAACAGCACGGUCUUGCUGUCACUUAUAGAUGGAUCCGCGCUGCAUUAGCUAGUUGGUAAGGUAACGGCUUACCAAGGCAACGAUGCAUAGCCGACCUGAGAGGGUGAUCGGCCACACUGGAACUGAGACACGGUCCAGACUCCUACGGGAGGCAGCAGUAGGGAAUCUUCCGCAAUGGGCGAAAGCCUGACGGAGCAACGCCGCGUGAGUGAUGAAGGUCUUCGGAUCGUAAAACUCUGUUAUUAGGGAAGAACAUAUGUGUAAGUAACUGUGCACAUCUUGACGGUACCUAAUCAGAAAGCCACGGCUAACUACGUGCCAGCAGCCGCGGUAAUACGUAGGUGGCAAGCGUUAUCCGGAAUUAUUGGGCGUAAAGCGCGCGUAGGCGGUUUUUUAAGUCUGAUGUGAAAGCCCACGGCUCAACCGUGGAGGGUCAUUGGAAACUGGAAAACUUGAGUGCAGAAGAGGAAAGUGGAAUUCCAUGUGUAUCGGUGAAAUGCGCAGAGAUAUGGAGGAACACCAGUGGCGAAGGCGACUUUCUGGUCUGUAACU
rnacentral:rRNA from 1 species